CUGGAAACUACAUCACAGCCUGUAAGCGUACUAUACGUGGGACGCCACGUUAACCGCAGUACAGCCGGCUCAAACCUACAGAACUCACAGUUUUGGAGCGGGGAUACCCUUGGACCCGGAAAAGGGUUGAAAAAGAGGCCAUUGUGCGGUCUGUCUGGGCGGAAUUAAAAUUCCAAAAUGGGCUAUGGCAUGACCCCAUUCAAAAAAAAUAUUGUGACCUCAAUCGACUACACCCAGAUCGAGUCGAAGAUUAUAGUCGGCGAUUAUGCCCAGGUCAACCCGUUCCCUCGGUACGCCACCACAAAAACAAAAAACAAAAAAAAACAAAGGGGGUGCCCAUGGAAGAGGAGUGUGAGGAGCACCCCAGAGAUGUUGGCGAGACAGAGGCGACUGAGGAGGAGGCCAGAUUCUGCCCCCCCCCCCAGCUCCAGAAGAUGAGGAAGAGGUGGUCUACACCCCCCACCGGGAGGUAGUGAACAAGUGCAAAAAGCACUUUGAAGAUCUGAA